rnacentral:rRNA from 1 species
UACGUAGGGUGCGAGCGUUAAUCGGAAUUACUGGGCGUAAAGCGAGCGCAGGCGGUUUUGUAAGUCAGAUGUGAAAGCCCCGGGCUCAACCUGGGAACUGCGUUUGAAACUGCAAGGCUAGAGUAUGGGAGAGGGGGGUAGAAUUCCACGUGUAGCAGUGAAAUGCGUAGAUAUGCGGAGGAACACCGAUGGCGAAGGCAAUCCCCUGGGCCUGCACUGACGCUCAUGCACGAAAGCGUGGGGAGCAAACAGG